rnacentral:rRNA from 1 species
CUGCCACUAUGGCUAGUAAUGCGAAUACGAACUAAUAACCUACAACUUUCAGCAAUGGAUGUCUAGGCUCCCACAACGAUGAUGAACGCAGCGAAAUGCGAUACGUAAUGCGAAUUGCAAAACUUCGUGAAUCAUUAAAAUUUUGAACGCACAUUGCACUCUCAGG